CGCCUUUCGCGCCCUUUCUGUGAGCCCGGGCGGGCGAGCGGCGGCUGCGGCUGGCGGCGGCCCCAGAUGCUUCAUCUGCAAUGCAGGCCACAAUGGAGGGGUGAUCGUCCCGGGAGGGUGAGGAGGGGGCGCAAGCCCGCGACGGAGGGGCUUCGGUACAGCCCGGGCGGCAUGCACACGCCUGCCCGCGCGCCAAUCCGCGGAGGCCGCCGCUGCAGCCCCGCGUGGGGUGACUGCGCAGAGCCAAUGGCCUCGCUGACGGCGAGCGCGCGACUGCACCGCGGCUUCCCCCGCCCUGCUCAUCAAGCGCGGCCUCCGCCCUGCAGCGGCUGCUGCGGCAGGAGACUGCCGGCUGGAGGGACGAGGACAGCAUCCGGGAAAGUCUUGGGCUACCGGGCACCGGACGCCCCGCCCCAAAACUGUUUUUUUUUUUUUUGUGACUGCUGGCUACCAAGAAGAAGAGAUGGAGGCCAGCGCCUGUGGGGCAAAAGGGCCCGGUCUAGCGCCCUGGCCGCCCUCCUGGCUAGCACUCCAAGACUCUCUCCUUUGUGUAGUUGUGGCGCUUGCAGAUCUAAGGAGGAAAAGCUGUUGUAGUUCAUUUCCUGAAGCCCGAAGCAACGAAAUGGGUUAUGAAGGAGCAAUAACAAGAGAUAGGAGAGGUUAUAUCCCACAGAAAGAGGAAACUGAGUCAUGGAGAAACAGAACCUCUAGUCACUAAGGGUGUACCAGGCCUCCCCUAAUGAUCCUAGUGGUAAAAUAGACCUGAAAGCCUUUGACUGUCAAACCAGGCUAAAGAUCUAACAGUGCGGUAGACAGAAGGAAGGUUCUCUAGGCAGAUGACAGAACUUCUGCUAAGGCAUGGCUUUGACCUUCUCACCUUGAGAUCAGAGAAUGCGUGUAGUCACUGCUUAAUCUAGGUCAUCGGGUGCCCUUUCGGUAAGGAAGUCAUCUGUCUAACUGAUUCACACCUGCUGAGCAAGAAUUAGCCAGAUAAAGACAGAAUCGUUCUGAGGCUCUAUAUUUCCCAGUUUGUUGUUUGUUUGUUUGUUUGUUUGUUGUCUGCACCUGGCCACACGAUAGGGGUCUUCUGCCUUUCUAUUCUCAAAGGAGGUGUAAAAUUCACCCUUUCAACCCCUGCCUUAAAAAUCUACAGUCCCUGAGGGAGGGUUAUGAGGCAGUCUUCACUUUUAAGUUCUGAUUUAAGCUGUGCAUCUUGAAAACAGAAGCCAGUCCCUAUGUCCUGUUCCAACUGGAUAAUGUGCACUAGCUGGGCUAGCUGGUACCUAAAUACUGGUGUCAGCCAUUAGGUAGGCGCUGUAGUCCCAGCACUCGGGAUGCAGAGAAAGAAGGAUCAAGAUCCACCUAGACAGUAUCAUAGAUAGGUAGGUAGGUAGGUUGGUAGGUAGAUAGAUGAUGGAAGGAUGGAUGAAUGGAUACAUACAUACAUACAUACAUACAUACAUACAUACAGAGAUUGGAUCAAGAUCCACCUAGACAGUAUCAUAGGUAGGUUGGUAGGUAGAUAGAUGAUGGAAGGAUGGAUGAAUGCAUGGAUACAUACAUACAUACAUACAUACAUACAUACAUACAUGCAUAGAUUGGAUCAAGAUCCACCUAGACAGUAUUAUAGGUAGGUAGGUAGGUAGGUAGGUAGAUAGAUAGAUAGAUAGAUAGAUAGAUAGAUAGAUAGAUAGAUAGAUAGAUGGAUAGAAGAUAGAAAGAUAGGUGGAUCGAUGAAAAUAAAGCAAAACUUUCCAGGAAAGCCCACUGUAAGGUUCAGCUAGCAGUCAGCAGGAGGAGGGCCCUAUUAAAUCACAGGGGAAAUAACUACUUGUUAGGCAAGGUUAAUGAGAUUCACAUUAAUUUAAACAAAAUAGCCUCUAGUUACAUUGUUUGUUUUUGUUGCACUUUCCUGCACUUGAUCUUAAUGGAUUUAGAUUCAUCUUGUUAUUUACCAAUUUGCUGUGAAAUAUUUUGUUUGGUUCUAUCUAUCCAUCUCAUUAGUGUCAAGCUCCUCCCUAUAGCCAGACACGCAAGGUUCUUAACCCAUGAUAAUUGACAUUUCUGCCCAUAAAUGUCCAGAGACAGAAGGUUAAAACUGAUUUAUCUGCUCUGGCUGGAGCUUAAGAGAGUAUUUGGCACAUAGAAGGCCCAGG